rnacentral:rRNA from 1 species
GAUGAACGCUGGCGGCGUGCCUAAUACAUGCAAGUCGAGCGAACAGACGAGAGUGCUUGCACUCUCUGACGUUAGCGGCGGACGGGUGAGUAACACGUGGGUAACCUACCUAUAAGACUGGGAUAACUUCGGGAAACCGGAGCUAAUACCGGAUAAUAUUUAGCUACGCAUGAAGCAAUAGUGAAAGACGGUUCUGCUGUCACUUAUAGAUGGACCCGCGGUGUAUUAGCUAGUUGGUGAGGUAACGGCUCACCAAGGCAACGAUACAUAGCCGACCUGAGAGGGUGAUCGGCCACACUGGAACUGAGACACGGACCAGACUCCUACGGGAGGCAGCAGUAGGGAAUCUUCCGCAAUGGACGAAAGUCUGACGGAGCAAUGCCGCGUGAGUGAAGAAGGUUUUCGGAUCGUAAAACUCUGUUGUAAGGGAAGAACAAGUACGUUAGUAACUGAACGUACCUUGACGGUACCUUACCAGAAAGCCACGGCUAACUACGUG